ACGGUAACAGGGAUUAGCUUGCUAAUUUGCUGACGAGUGGCGGACGGGUGAGUAAUGCUUGGGAAUCUAGCUUAUGGAGGGGGAUAACUACGGGAAACUGUAGCUAAUACCGCGUAAAAUCUUCGGAUUAAAGGGUGGGACUUUCGGGCCACCUGCCAUAAGAUGAGCCCAAGUGGGAUUAGGUAGUUGGUUAGGUAAAGGCUGACCAAGCCGACGAUCUCUAGCUGGUCUGAGAGGAUGACCAGCCACACUGGAACUGAGACACGGUCCAGACUCCUACGGGAGGCAGCAGUGGGGAAUAUUGCACAAUGGGGGGAACCCUGAUGCAGCCAUGCCGCGUGAAUGAAGAAGGCCUUCGGGUUGUAAAGUUCUUUCGGUGACGAGGAAGGUUGAUAGGUUAAUAGCCUAUCAAAUUGACGUUAAUCACAGAAGAAGCACCGGCUAACUCCGUGCCAGCAGCCGCGGUAAUACGGGGGGUGCGAGCGUUAAUCGGAAUAACUGGGCGUAAAGGGCACGCAGGCGGUGACUUAAGUGAGAUGUGAAAGCCCCGGGCUUAACCUGGGAAUUGCAUUUCAUACUGGGUCGCUAGAGUACUUUAGGGAGGGGUAGAAUUCCACGUGUAGCGGUGAAAUGCGUAGAGAUGUGGAGGAAUACCGAAGGCGAAG
rnacentral:rRNA from 1 species